UACGUAGGGGGCAAGCGUUGUCCGGAAUUAUUGGGCGUAAAGCGCGCGCAGGCGGUUCUUUAAGUCUGGUGUUUAAGUGCGGGGCUCAACCCCGUGACGCACUUGAAACUGGGGAACUUGAGUGCAGAAGAGGAGAGCGGAAUUCCACGUGUAGCGGUGAAAUGCGUAGAGAUGUGGAGGAACACCAGUGGCGAAGGCGGCUCUCUGGACUGUAACUGACGCUGAGGCGCGAAAGCGUGGGGAGCAAACAGG
rnacentral:rRNA from 1 species